GGGGGCGAUUGGAUUCGACUGGGUUACCGUAAGUCGAGGUGGCGUGCCGUGGUUGAUCAGUUGGCCACGUAAAAAGCUGAUCACUCUACAACUGCUGAAAAGCAUUUCGCGUUGGCUGCCUAGAGAUAGGCAACCCUGGCUCAGGAAUCCCCGUCUGAGGAGUCCGAAAGCCGGUCACAAAAUCAGGCUGGCGUCGCGUCAAUGCCCACUACGCGCGGCGUGAGACAAGUGGUGGACUGGUCCGGGACGGGCCCUGUCGAUCGAGCCUGUCCCGGCGAGACCUAAUCGACCGAACACGCACGUAGAAGCUUCGUCCGAGGAAUCACAGGACGCGGGUUCGAUUCCCGCCGCCUCCAUUU
rnacentral:tmRNA from 1 species